UCGAGCGAAUCGAUGUGGAGCUUGCUCCCUGCAGAUUAGCGGCGGACGCGGUGAGUAACACGUGGGUCAACCUGCCUAUAAGACUGGGAUAACAUUCGGGAAACCGGAGCUAAUACCGGAUACGUUCUUUUCUCGCAUGAGAGAAGAUGGAAAGACGGUUUACGCUGUCACUUAUAGAUGGGCCCGCGGCGCAUUAGCUAGUUGGUGAGGUAAUGGCUCACCAAGGCGACGAUGCGU
rnacentral:rRNA from 1 species